AUGUCAUUCUUGACUCUGACUUUUUUCUGUCUUCUCCUUCAAAUCUUUCACAAAUGCCUAUCAAAUAUAUCUCCUAGAAAUCUCUGGGAUCCUUCAAAGCUUUCCUUGCUUCUGCCAGUCUCCCAGCUGAAUAAAUACAGCACACUUAAGGUUGACAUUCCUGACUCUUCUCUUCUGUCCUUUCAAUCUGAUUGUAGAGGUGAAGUUUCCCCAUGAUGGCCAGGCUGGCCUUGAACUCCUGACCUUAGGUGAUCCUCCUGCCUUGGCCUCCCAAAGUACUAAGAUUACAGGUGUGAGCUACUGCUCCCAGCCUCCUCUUAAAAGUAAGUUCCAGUUUUACAUCAUUCCUUUGCUCAUGCAUAUGAAAUAGGCAAUUAGAAGCAGCUAGGACAAAAAUGGAAUGCUUUGCUGCUUGGGCAUUUUUUUCCACCAGAUACCCCAAAUCUGUAGUCCCCAGGCUUUUGGCACCAGGUACUGGUUUUGUGAAUAACAAUUUUUCCAUGUACUGGGGGUAGGUGAUUCAAGCACAUUAUGUUUAUUGUGUACUUUAUUUCCAUUGUUAUUACAAGAUACAAUGAAAUAAUUAUACAACUUACCAUAACGUAGAAUCAGUGGGAUCCCUGAACUUAUUUUCUUGCAGCUAGAUAGUCCCAUCCAUGGGCAAUGGGAGACAGUGACAGAUCAUCAGGCAUUAGAUUCUCAUAAGGAACACACAACCUAGAUCCCUCAUAGGCACAGCUCACAAUAGGGUUCAUGCUCCUGUCAGAAUUGAAUGCCACUGCUGAUCUGACAGGAGGCCCAGCUCAGGCAGUAAUGUGAAGAAUGGGAAGUGGCUGUAAAUACAGGUAAAGCUUCACUUGCUUGCCUGCUGCUUACCUCCUACUGUGUAGCCUGUUUCUUAACAGGCCACAGACUGAUACUUAUCUGUGGCUCAUUGUUCGGGGACUCAUGCUCUACAUUAUUACUCUCAGGUUCCAAGUUUCACAGAUCCGUAGAGCCCGGGCAUAAUCGAAUGAAGCUCUUUGCCAAAUGUGACCUUUGCUCUAGUUCCCAAUAAGUUUCUCAUCUCCAUCUGAGACCUCCUUAGCCUGGCCUUCACUGACUAUUAACAUUAUGAUUACAACCAUUCAACAAAUCUCUAGAAGUUCCAAAAUUUCCCUCAUCUUCCUGUCACCUUCUGAGUCCUCUAUGCUCUUCCAGCCUCUGCCCAUUACCCUAUUCCAAAGCUGCUUCCACAUUUGUAGGUAUCUUUACAGCAAUAUCCAACUCCUGGUACCAAUUUCUGUAUUAGUUUAUUCUCCCACUGCUAUAAAGUAAUAUGGAAGAUUGGGUAAUUUAUAAAGAAAGGAGGUUUAAUUGGCUCACAGUUCUGUA
rnacentral:lncRNA from 1 species